UAUCCACGGACAUUGCUUUGGCAUGGAAGUAUUCCUCAUGUAAAUGGACCUAAAUCAGAUGUUCUUCCUGAAUCAGAGUCUAAGAUGAUCAUCCAUGAAGAAACUGUUCAAACGGAUCAAAACGUACCUCUAUCUAAUAUUGAAAGAUUCUGCGUUUGCUGUGAACAAAUAUUAUCAUUUGAUAAUUUUUGAAAAGGGGACACAUGAAUGCAAAUCAUAUUUAUGUUACAAUGGAAUAAGAAGGUUUUAUAGAAGCAAGUAGCAGUUCGGCCACCCCCAAACGUAUUGGUAGUAAGCUGAGCCCCUUAACCAACCAGAGAAUUGAAAGAAUGAAGGCUAAAAUCAAUUCUUUCCUCAAGAUGUUUAUGACUACACGUUGUCUUUGGGGUGUUCGGUUCGAAAAUCAAAAUAAAAUAAAAAAAGUGAAUACAAAAAAUCAAAAACUCAGAAAUCUAUGCAAUGAAUAAUGAUUCACAUUUA